rnacentral:lncRNA from 1 species
UGUGAUUGGCAUGCAUCUAUGUGAGUUAUUGGGCUAGUAAUUUUUGUGAUUGUCAUGGAUCUGUGCGAUCUGUUCCCAAGAGUUUGCUAAUUUCUGCAUAUAUUUUAUUAUGUUUUGACAAUGCAAAUGAUGUCAAUAUUAUCAGUGCUCAUGGCUUUAUUAAUUUAUAAAUCUGUGCUGAAUUUAUAUAGAUAGACGACAAUGGCAAGACCCGAGAUACACUGAAGCUUGUGGCUCUAAAAUUGUUGUUGACGGGGGGUCUAGGUUUAUAAAUCAGUGAUGCAUUAAUAUAGAUGAAUGACAUCGGCAAGACCCGAGAUACGCUGAAGCUUCAAGGUUUACAAUGGAUUUUUGGCUAUCUAAUAUGUGAACUCUAGUAUGUGUUGGACUGUAAGAUGGACCAUAUGGAUUUGUGGCUCCAUAAUAUGUGAACUCUUAAGAUGUACUUGGACUGGAUACUUGAUUUAUCUGCACUCUCUAUUAUCCUGAUGCAUUUCUCUAGCUAAUUUGUACCAUAAACUGCUUAUGUGUAUAAAAAUUGUUGAUAUACUUAUAAAAACAACCAAGAUGCUGCUGAAA